CUACGGGGUGCAGCAGUGAGGAAUAUUGCGCAAUGGGGGCAACCCUGACGCAGCGACGCCGCGUGAGUGAGGAAGGCCUUCGGGUCGUAAAGCUCUGUCAAGAGGAAAGAAGUGCAUAGUGGUUAAUACCUGCUAUGUUUGACGGUACCUCUAAAGGAAGCACCGGCUAACUCCGUGCCAGCAGCCGCGGUAAUACGGAGGGUGCAAGCGUUGUUCGGAAUCACUGGGCGUAAAGGGCGCGCAGGCGGCCUGGUAAGUCAGAUGUGAAAGCCCACGGCUUAACCGUGGAAGUGCAUUUGAACUGUCAGGCUUGAGUACCAGAGGGGAAAGUGGAAUUCCCGGUGUAGAGGUGAAAUUCGUAGAUAUCGGGAGGAAUACCGGUGGCGAAGGCGACUUUCUGGCUGAGUACUGACGCUGAGGCGCGAAAGCGUGGGGAGCAAACAGGAUUAGAUACCCUCGUAGUC
rnacentral:rRNA from 1 species